UGGCCAGACUCCUACGGGAGGCAGCAGUGGGGAAUAUUGCACAAUGGGGGAAACCCUGAUGCAGCGACGCCGCGUGAGCGAAGAAGUAUUUCGGUAUGUAAAGCUCUAUCAGCAGGGAAGAAAAAUGACGGUACCUGAGUAAGAAGCACCGGCUAAAUACGUGCCAGCAGCCGCGGUAAUACGUAUGGUGCAAGCGUUAUCCGGAUUUACUGGGUGUAAAGGGAGCGCAGGCGGUGCGGCAAGUCUGAUGUGAAAGCCCGGGGCUCAACCCCGGGACUGUAUUGAAAACUACCGAACUAGAGUGUCGGAGAGGUAAGUGGAAUUCCUAGUGUAGCGGUGAAAUGCGUAGAUAUUAGGAGGAACACCAGUGGCGAAGGCGGCUUACUGGACGAUAACUGACGCUGAGGCUCGAAAGCGUGGGGAGCAAACAGGAUUAGAUACCCUCGUACGG
rnacentral:rRNA from 1 species